rnacentral:rRNA from 1 species
GAUGAACGCUAGCGGCAGGCUUAAUACAUGCAAGUCGAGGGGCAGCAUGAAUGUAGCAAUACAUUUGAUGGCGACCGGCAAACGGGUGCGGAACACGUACACAACCUUCCUAUAAGUGGGGAAUAGCCCAGAGAAAUUUGGAUUAAUACCCCGUAACAUAAUGAUGUGGCAUCACAUUAUUAUUAUAGCUUCGGCGCUUAUUGAUGGGUGUGCGGCUGAUUAGAUAGUUGGCGGGGUAACGGCCCACCAAGUCUACGAUCAGUAGCUGAUGCGAGAGCAUGAUCAGCCACACGGGCACUGAGACACGGGCCCGACUCCUACGGGAGGCAGCAGUAAGGAAUAUUGGUCAAUGGACGCAAGUCUGAACCAGCCAUGCCGCGUGAAGGAUUAAGGUCCUCUGGAUUGUAAACUUCUUUUAUCUGGGACGAAAAAAGGCUAUUCUUAGUCACUUGACGGUACCAGAUGAAUAAGCACCGGCUAACUCCGUGCCAGCAGCCGCCGCAGUAA